UACGUAGGCAGCGAGCGUUGUUCGGAGUUACUGGGCGUAAAGAGUGCGUAGGUGGUUUUCUAAGUUUGGUGUGAAAUCUCCCGGCUUAACUGGGAGGGUGCGCCGAAAACUGGGAGACUUGAGUGUGGGAGAGGAAAGCGGAAUUCCUGGUGUAGCGGUGAAAUGCGUAGAUAUCAGGAGGAACACCUGCGGUGUAGACGGCUUUCUGGACCACUACUGACACUGAGGCACGAAAGCGUGGGUAGCAAACAGG
rnacentral:rRNA from 1 species